UUCAAUAUUGUAUCUGAGUGCUUUCUUUACUCACUUUUAGAAAUAAUAAUAAAUAUUCAAAUCAUCUUACGUUACACCCAACAGCCGCUGCUAAAUAUACUUAAACAAUUAAGAUUCUCAUUGUUAAGCAUCCAAUCUCACGAACGUAACUUUCCACAAUGGCUGUCAGAUCUUGGUAAAAAAAAAAAAAAAUGUUUUCUAAGACAAUAUUUGGGGGUUUCUGGUAUUGUAAGCCAC